rnacentral:rRNA from 1 species
GAGUUUGAUCCUGGCUCAGGGACGAACGCUGGCGGCGUGCUUAACACAUGCAAGUCAAGGGGGCCCAGCAAUGGGCAACCGGCGAACGGGUGCGUAACACGUGAGUAACCUACCGAACUGUGGGGGAUAGCCGGCCUAACGGCCGAGUAAUACCGCGUACGCUUUCAGUGAGGCAUUUCAUUGAAAGGAAACCUACGGGACAGAUCGAGGGGCUCGCGGCCUAUCAGCUAGUUGGCGAGGUAACGGCUCACCAAGGCAACGACGGGUAGCUGGUCUGAGAGGAUGGCCAGCCACAUUGGGACUGAGAUACGGCCCAGACUCCUACGGGAGGCAGCAGUGGGGGAUCUUGCGCAAUGGCCUAACGGCUGACGCAGCGACGCCGCGUGUGGGAUGAAGCUCCUCGGAGUGUAAACCACUGUUGCCCGGGACGAACAGCUCGAUUAGUCGAGCCUGACGGUACCGGGUGAGGAAGCACCGGCUAACUCCGUGCCAGCAGCCGCGGUAAUACGGGGGGUGCGAGCGUUGUCCGGAAUCACUGGGCGUAAAGGGCGCGUAGGUGGUUUGAUAAGGGUGUGGUGAAAGUCCGGGGCUCAACUCCGGAUCUGCCGUGCCGACUGUCAAACUCGAGGACUGUAGAGGCAGACGGAAUUCCGGGUGUAGCGGUGGAAUGCGUAGAGAUCCGGAGGAAGACCGGUGGCGAAGGCGGUCUGCUGGGCAGUUUCUGACACUGAGGCGCGACAGCGUGGGGAGCAAACAGGAUUAGAUACCCUGGUAGUCCACGCCGUAAACGAUGGGUACUAGGUGCCUGGGGGAGCGACCCUCUGGGUGCCGGCGCUNACGCAGGAAGUACCCCGCCUGGGGAGUACNACGCAAGUUGAACUCAAGNAUUGACGGGGNCCNCACAACCGUGANCAUGUGUUUAUUCACNCACNCNAAAACUNACUAGGNUGACUGACNACAGUNNAAAACANANCCUNUCGAAUNUGNAGUCUCUGCUUCUCACUCUUCUAANUGGUAUCCNACANCACCUNUUAUNCNCCUAUGCGGAUUANAAUCGUCAACNAAAGGGAAUAUU